AUAAGCAGGUGGAAUUUACCGUUCUGGACUUGAAGUACACCUUUUUCUGCCUGGUUUUGCAAAAGAAAGUCUAAAAUUAUUUGCCUUUGUAUAGAAAAACUCAAAUAUGGAGAGAAGGAAAAAAAAUAAUAAUUAAAAGUAAUAAUAAUAAUAAUUCAGUUAACCUGCACAGUGUUACCCAGGGUUGUGAGAACAGCUCAGUGAUUUUUGAGAACUGGUCAACUCGUGAGUCUGAGAUUUGGAUUCACCAUCUCACAGUGAACUUUACUGCAGUACGUGGAUGCUACAGUAACAAAGAACUGUGUGCAAUGGACUGUGAGCUUGCUGAAUUUCUUGAUUUAAAUGGCUAUCAAGUUUCUCAACAGAAAGCACAACUGAUCAAAGAGAAGGAAGCAACUUGCUGAACACCCAGAACGCCAAGCACCCUCCAAGCCAGCAGUGUGUGACUGCAUGGAGACUGUCUGUGCAAGUUGGUCAGACCUACAGGAGGAACCGUUGGAUGAUGCUGAGGAGUCCUGCAUUCAUCGACGGAAGCAGUUUUGUGAAGACAAGGAAACCGUAAGGCAGGACAUGCAGUAACUGCUACUGACAAGAUUUGCCCCUGGAACCAAGGUGGGUAGGUCUGUUCCAGGUGCUGCUAACAUCCCACACAACAGUAAAAGCAUUGUGGAUACAUAAUACUAGAGUUAAGAAGGUCCCUUGAACACAAUGAGAACUGAAGUCAGCUGGGCCCUUAAAAUUGUGAAUCCAAAGACAAGAACGUGGGCUUUUGUAAUUGUUAGAAAUGUUGAUUUGAUGAGUGCAUCAUUUGAUGUAAAUACUUAUGUAUCUCUUGUGACAAACAUCAUUGCAUAUCAGUAUUGUUUGGUAUGCGGGCAAGCUAAGGAUUUAAACUUUUCACUUCUUGUUGUCCCUGAUGAUUUUAAGGUGAGAAAUCAAACUGUUGCAGGGUUUGAGUCACUGUCCUGGUGGGUGAUGAUCAACAAGAAUGUAGAUUGGAUUAACUACAUCCGUUAUAAUCAAUGGAGAUUUGCAAAUUAUACAAAGAGUGCAAUGAGGAGAAUUGCAGGACAGUUAAAUGCCACAAGCAGGAUGGCCUGAGAAAAUAGCAUCUCCUAAGAUAUGAUACAAGAGUGUAUAUAUAACACUGGGUACCCGUUGUUGCACCUUCAUCCCAAUAACACAGCUCUGGAUGACAUAAUAGUGAAGGCAUUGCAAGGGCUUGGUACCACCCUAGUCGAUGAAGUGGCAGAAAAAUCAGGAAUAGAUACUUCUAUCACUGUAUAGUUGGAGUUCUGGUUUGGUGAAUGGAAAGGGGUGACUGUAUCCACAUUUACUUCUUUGAUAGUAGAAGCAGGAGCCCUGAUGGCCAUUGGUUGCUGUGUUUGUGAGGGGACUAGUGGAGUUAUUGAUCAAGACAGCACUAUUGAAGCAAACACCAAUGGAGCUUUUACAUUUGGAUAAAAUGAUGGUAUUAGAGGAGAUGGGAGAUAAAGAAAGUGAAGACAAGGGAGACGUCUAUAAAAGUGAACCUUAAAAAAAAAAGUUGCAGAAAUCAACAAUGUAUAAAAAAAGAAAAAGGGGGUAAUUGUGGGAAUCAAAUGUUGUUUCUGCAUUAGAAUUGUAUAAUAUUAUUUUUAUUUUAUGAUCUCUGCUAUCAUAGUUCUUUUUGGGAGUCCUUCUAUUUAACUUUGGGAAGAUCUCUGAUAAGUUUACAUCACUUAUUCUCUAGACGAACCUUCCCAGAAAUGCACACUCUGUAUAUAGGUGUAUAUAUGUAUAUUUUGUCAUAUACACUGCAGGGAUAUCCUGCAGGGGAGCAAACCAGAGAACAAGUCAUAGUCUGCCCGAGGAAGCACCUGAAGAGACAUGGGAAGGCCUGACAUCAUCCCAAGUGCUCUUUGUUUAACGAAGACCUUAAAGAAAAUCACCAUAUCAAUAUGACAAGGAGAGCACCGAGGCAUCUUGGAAACAAGAGGAUGACUACUGACUGGCACCAGAUAACAAAUAAAUUAACAAGUAAAUAGCAAAUCUCCGUCCAGCUGCGGUGCAAACACGCGGCCUCCGCCCGGCAGCGUUCCCACACUCAACAUGGCUCCUCAACUGCUUCACCCGCUCUUCAGCGCCCCCCUGCAGCGCACCUCUGCCGCUCUGAACUUGCCCUUUCUGAAAAGGGCCGCCAGCUUCACCCCGCGGCCGCCUUGCCCGGAUGACGGCCGGGUCGCGGUCACGUGGCGGGCGAUGGGUCGUGAGGGCGGUGAGGUGCCGGGUUUGUCCGCUCCUCCUGGCCGCGUCGUGCAGUCGGCCCCUAUUGGGUCCAGGGCCUCUCAGGGUCGGUGCCGCUUAUGUACGGGACGGCGCCGGAGGGCCGGGAUCGGCGGCAGCGGAAAGGCACUGAGUUCUCUGAGAUGUGCUACGGAAAUGAUGAGAGCUACUUCUGAGGCUGUGAGCGGUGGCUGAUGAGAGAAGCUAAAGAGAGGAACCUCAAAAUUGAACAGAUUGAUACGGAAUGAAAGGGCAUUUCAUAGAAAAUGGAUGAAGGCCUCUCUAUCCUGGGACAAAACCAGAGCCAAAUGCCUGAGUAACUCAGCAGGAACUGCGGGCUGUGGAGAUUGCAGAACCUUCAACAAUGCAGCAGUGCAGGAUGUUGAGCUCGGAUCCUAAAGCAAACCUGUGUGAACGGAAACGUGAGCUCUUAAGUGUUGUGCACUACUGAUGGCUUUUAAAGCUGCGUGCGUAAGGACUGCCUAAGCUACUGCACAGCACAUCCAUCUGCUGUGUCAGGACAAGAGAGAAACUGCAGCUCACUCCUCUGUCAGCCUGAACUCAGCUUCAAAAUACUAUUUUUUAACAUAGUCACCACCACUAGCUAUGCAUUUUUGAUGUGAUUUAGCAAUGAACAUGAGCCUGCAUGCUGCAUUUGUAAAAAUCUGCAUCAGCAGAGGUAAACUACUGCUGUUGUCACCACUGCUGAAGUCCAACAUCUACCACCUCCCUGAGCUCAUGUCCAUUGUCUGGACUCCAUCCAGCAAGUGUCGGUGAAUGUUGGUGGGUGCAAUUUUUUCCAUACAGAGGAAGUCAGUUCCUCAGCUUUGCAUCAUCUGCAAUUCCAUGUUAAAUGCCAUUUUGUCAGACGGCUUCUCUCCUGUUAUUUGUUGGCUGACAACAAAAUGUAAUGGAAUACUGUUGAGAAGGUUCAUCCUCUAUUGUCACACCACAAGCAUCAGCCUCUGAUAUUGUGGACGAAUAUAAUCAAAUAGGAGAUGGUACUGUUGAAGCAGACCUCAUACAUACACAUUGAAUCAGCUGUACAAUUUUCUCUUCAAAGGCCUAAUUUG